AAUCAACGCUGGCGGCGUGCCUAACACAUGCAAGUCGAACGCGAAAGUGGAGCAAGUCCAUGAGUAGAGUGGCGAACGGGUGAGUAACACGUGGGUGACCUACCUUCGAGUGGGGAUAACGUCCCGAAGGGACGCUAAUACCGCAUAACAUCCUGCCUUUGAAGAGGUGGAGAUCAAAGCCGGGGAUCGCAAGACCUGGCGUUUGGGAGAGGGGCCCGCGUCUGGAUUAGCUAGUUGGUGAGGUAACGGCCCACCAAGGCAACGAUCAGUAUCCGGCCUGAGAGGGCGGACGGACACACUGGGACUGAGACACGGCCCAGACUCCUACGGGAGGCAGCAGUGGGAAUUGUUCACAAUGGGCGCAAGCCUGAUGACGCAACGCCGCGUGGAGGAUGAAGGUCUUCGGAUU
rnacentral:rRNA from 1 species